rnacentral:rRNA from 1 species
AGAGUUUGAUUACGGCUCAGAUUGAACGCUGGCGGCAGGCCUAACACAUGCAAGUCGAACGGUAACAGGAAGCAGCUUGCUGCUUUGCUGACGAGUGGCGGACGGGUGAGUAAUGUCUGGGAAACUGCCUGAUGGAGGGGGAUAACUACUGGAAACGGUAGCUAAUACCGCAUAACGUCGCAAGACCAAAGAGGGGGACCUUAGGGCCUCUUGCCAUCGGAUGUGCCCAGAUGGGAUUAGCUAGUAGGUGGGGUAACGGCUCACCUAGGCGACGAUCCCUAGCUGGUCCGAGAGGAUGACCAGCCACACUGGAACUGAGACACGGUCCAGACUCCUACGGGAGGCAGCAGUGGGGAAUAUUGCACAAUGGGCGCAAGCCUGAUGCAGCCAUGCCGCGUGUAUGAAGAAGGCCUUCGGGUUGUAAAGUACUUUCAGCGGGGAGGAAGGGAGUAAAGUUAAUACCUUUGCUCAUUGACGUUACCCGCAGAAGAAGCACCGGCUAACUCCGUGCCAGCAGCCGCGGUAAUACGGAGGGUGCAAGCGUUAAUCGGAAUUACUGGGCGUAAAGCGCACGCAGGCGGUUUGUUAAGUCAGAUGUGAAAUCCCCGGGCUCAACCUGGGAACUGCAUCUGAUACUGGCAAGCUUGAGUCUCGUAGAGGGGGGUAGAAUUCCAGGUGUAGCGGUGAAAUGCGUAGAGAUCUGGAGGAAUACCGGUGGCGAAGGCGGCCCCCUGGACGAAGACUGACGCUCAGGUGCGAAAGCGUGGGGAGCAAACAGGAUUAGAUACCCUGGUAGUCCACGCCGUAAACGAUGUCGACUUGGAGGUUGUGCCCUUGAGGCGUGGCUUCCGGAGCUAACGCGUUAAGUCGACCGCCUGGGGAGUACGGCCGCAAGGUUAAAACUCAAAUGAAUUGACGGGGGCCCGCACAAGCGGUGGAGCAUGUGGUUUAAUUCGAUGCAACGCGAAGAACCUUACCUGGUCUUGACAUCCACGGAAGUUUUCAGAGAUGAGAAUGUGCCUUCGGGAACCGUGAGACAGGUGCUGCAUGGCUGUCGUCAGCUCGUGUUGUGAAAUGUUGGGUUAAGUUCCGCAACGAGCGCAACCCUUAUCCUUUGUUGCCAGCGGUCCGGCCGGGAACUCAAAGGAGACUGCCAGUGAUAAACUGGAGGAAGGUGGGGAUGACGUCAAGUCAUCAUGGCCCUUACGACCAGGGCUACACACGUGCUACAAUGGCGCAUACAAAGAGAAGCGACCUCGCGAGAGCAAGCGGACCUCAUAAAGUGCGUCGUAGUCCGGAUUGGAGUCUGCAACUCGACUCCAUGAAGUCGGAAUCGCUAGUAAUCGUGGAUCAGAAUGCCACGGUGAAUACGUUCCCGGGCCUUGUACACACCGCCCGUCACACCAUGGGAGUGGGUUGCAAAAGAAGUAGGUAGCUUAACCUUCGGGAGGGCGCUUACCACUUUGUGAUUCAUGACUGGGGUGAAGUCGUAACAAGGU